GGGCGCAGCCUGAUGGAGCACACCGCGUGAGUGAAGAAGGGUUUCGGCUCGUAAAGCUCUGUUGUUGGAGAAGAACGUGCGUGAGAGUAACUGUUCACGCAGUGACGGUAUCCAACCAGAAAGUCACGGCUAACUACGUGCCAGCAGCCGCGGUAAUACGUAGGUGGCAAGCGUUAUCCGGAUUUAUUGGGCGUAAAGCGAGCGCAGGCGGUUGCUUAGGUCUGAUGUGAAAGCCUUCGGCUUAACCGAAGAAAGGGCAUCGGAAACCGGGCGGACUUUGAGGUGCAGAAGAGGGACAGGUGGGAACCUCCAUGUGGUAGCGGGUGGGAAUGCGUAGAAUAUAUGGGAAGAACACCCAGGUGGGCGAAAGGCGGGCUGGUCUGGGUCUGCAAACUGAACGCCUGAAGGCCUCGAAAAGCCAUGGGGUAGCGAAACAGGGAUUAAGAUACCCCUGGGUAGUCCCAUGGCCGUAAAACGAAUGAGUUGCUAGGGUGGUUGGAAGGGGUUUCCGCCCCUUUCAAUGGCCUGAACAUAACGCUUUUAAGCCCACUCCGUCCCGGGGAAAUUACGACCCCCCAAGGGUUUAAACCUCCAAA
rnacentral:rRNA from 2 species